CUACGGGGGGCACCAGUGGGGAAUAUUGCACAAUGGAGGAAACUCUGAUGCAGCAACGCCGCGUGGAGGAUGACACUUUUCGGAGCGUAAACUCCUUUUAUAUAGGAAGAAGAUGACGGUACUAUAUGAAUAAGCGCCGGCUAACUCCGUGCCAGCAGCCGCGGUAAUACGGAGGGCGCAAGCGUGACUCGGAAUCACUGGGCGUAAAGAGCGUGUAGGCGGAUUAAAAAGUCAGAAGUGAAAUCCUAUAGCUUAACUAUAGAACUGCUUCUGAAACUCUUAAUCUAGAAUAUGGGAGAGGUAGACGGAAUUUCUGGUGUAGGGGUAAAAUCCGUAGAGAUCAGAAGGAAUACCGAUUGCGAAGGCGAUCUACUAGAACAUUAUUGACGCUGAGACGCGAAAGCGUGGGGAGCAAACAGGAUUAGAUACCCUAGUAGUC
rnacentral:rRNA from 1 species